AACGAACGCUGGCGGCAUGCCUAACACAUGCAAGUCGAACGAUUGCCUUCGGGUGAUAGUGGCGCGCGGGUGCGUAACGCGUGGGAAUCUGCCCUUAGGUUCGGAAUAACAGCUGGAAACGGCUGCUAAUACCGGAUGUUAUCGCGAGAUCAAAGAUUUAUCGCCUGAGGAUGAGCCCGCGUUGGAUUAGGUAGUUGGUGGGGUAAAGGCCUACCAAGCCGACGAUCCAUAGCUGGUCUGAGAGGAUGAUCAGCCACACUGGGACUGAGACACGGCCCAGACUCCUACGGGAGGCAGCAGUGGGGAAUAUUGGACAAUGGGCGCAAGCCUGAUCCAGCAAUGCCGCGUGAGUGAUGAAGGCCCUAGGGUUGUAAAGCUCUUUUACCCGGGAAGAUAAUGACUGUACCGGGAGAAUAAGCCCCGGCUAACUCCGUG
rnacentral:rRNA from 1 species